GACGAACGCUGGCGGCGUGCUUAACACAUGCAAGUCGAACGGAAAGGCCCUGCUUUUGUGGGGUUCUCGAGUGGCGAACGGGUGAGUAACACGUGAGUAACCUGCCCUUGACUUUGGGAUAACUUCAGGAAACUGGGGCUAAUACCGGAUAGGAGCUCCUGCUGCAUGGUGGGGGUUGGAAAGUUUCGGCGGUUGGGGAUGGACUCGCGGCUUAUCAGCUUGUUGGUGGGGUAGUGGCUUACCAAGGCUUUGACGGGUAGCCGGCCUGAGAGGGUGACCGGCCACAUUGGGACUGAGAUACGGCCCAGACUCCUACGGGAGGCAGCAGUGGGGAAUAUUGCACAAUGGGCGGAAGCCUGAUGCAGCAACGCCGCGUGCGGGAUGACGGCCUUCGGGUUGUAAACCGCUUUCGCCUGUGACGAAGCGUGAGUGACGGUAAUGGGUAAAGAAGCACCGGCUAACUACGU
rnacentral:rRNA from 1 species